UUUUCUACUUUUAAGUACCAGUCUACAUGCUCCUAUAUUGAGAUAAUAGGUGUUUGUAAAUUACCUGACAUACCAUUUUAAUGGCCAAUUGACUGUUAUUAAUAUGUUUAGAGAAGAUUUGCACAUCAUUCAUCAGGCAUGUUUUAUCUAAUAGCAAGCUGAACAGGAAUUCCCAGUUCUGCAUGGCUUUUUGCAGAAGGCUUUGUUUAGAAACGUGCUGCCUCCCUUUCCACAUUCCUUAGCCAUUCUAUGCAAAGCAAAUCAUUAUCAGAUAUGCUUCAACUAA